rnacentral:lncRNA from 1 species
UUUUUUUUUUUUUUUUUUUUUAAACUAGGCUUUAUUGCUAUUGCUUUUUUCCUUUGAACUUUAUUUUGAAAUACAGAGUUGAAAGAAUAGUAUUAUGAACACUUAAACUUUUGACCUAGAUUCACUAAUUGUUACUAUUUUGCUGUUAUAUAUUUGCUUUCUCUUUUUUCUGUGUUGAAAAGAAGUUGCAGAUAUCCUGAAUGAUACUUUACCGCUAAGUACUUAGGAGAUACAUGCCAAAGAAAGUGGGAUAUUCGCCUAUAGAACCACAGUGAUCACAUUAGAGAAAUUCCACUGCCACAGUAAUAUCUAAUAUGGUGCAUAUUUAUAUCUCCACAUUUGUCUCAGCGUCCUUCAUUUUCAACUCAGGGCAGAAUCCUGUUACUCCCUGCAUUUAGUUGUCAAGUCUCUUUAGUCUCCUUUGAUCUAUAACCGUUCCUUUGCCCAUAUCCCCUUUUUUUUCCCUUCCAUGGCCAGUUGUUUUAUAGAAUAUCCUACAGUUUGGACUUGUUUGAUUUCUCAUGAAUGGAUUCAGGUUACAUUUAAACAUUUUGGUAAGAAUAAGACAUAGGUGACAUUUUGAUUACCUUUUAAGAGUAAAACAAUUCACAUGUCAAACUAUUUGGAUACUGUCUCAGUCCAUUUGUGUGGGUAUAAAAGAUUACCCGACGCCGAGUCAUUUAUCAAAAAAAAAAAAAAA